rnacentral:rRNA from 1 species
CAGUCGCCGCGGGAAUACGUAGGUCCCGAGCGUUGUCCGGAUUUAUUGGGCGUAAAGCGAGCGCAGGCGGUUAGAUAAGUCUGAAGUUAAAGGCUGUGGCUUAACCAUAGUACGCUUUGGAAACUGUUUAACUUGAGUGCAAGAGGGGAGAGUGGAAUUCCAUGUGUAGCGGUGAAAUGCGUAGAUAUAUGGAGGAACACCGGUGGCGAAAGCGGCUCUCUGGUCUGUCACUGACGCUGAGGCUCGAAAGCGUGGGUAGCGAACAGGAUUAGAUACCCGUGUAGUCCCUGUCUCUUAUACA